UUUUUAAGGGCUCUUGCUUUUUAGCAGGAGCAAGAAGAGUGUGGAUGCGUGCAUGCAAUUUGGGCCUCUUCAGCCAGGAUUCCAAAUAGCUAUUGACAACAGAGAAGCUGUCCCAGCCCCCAAGGUCAGGGCCAUUGCCCUUCCUGUUAUUUGCUUCUUGACGACUGGUCCACCCUGUAUGGACACCGUGUUACUGAGGGCUGUAGACAAUUGGCAGGCAAAGAACUCUAACAUUCUUGUGAAUACUGCACUCUUCUUUCUGAUCAGACGGACGGGCAGCAUUUUUUGCCUGGCAGCUACUUCAGAAGACAGCAUUCACCGGCAGCCUACAAUGUCCCCAGCACCCAGUGGCAGGGGCACUCGGUUUCUCAUCUACGUCUUUGAAAAAUCCAUGCAGAUCAUUUUCUCCGGGAGUAGGAUACCCUGGGCUUCAGAGGGUCGAAGAGGCAAGCUUAUAGGUGUAAGAGCUGAUCCCCUGGGAAAAGGUGUGAAUGCCACCUCAUGGUGAGGAACCAAACUGCAAAGAAUGAGAAGCUGAGUGGCAGAAAAGCCUAUGAAUGAGGGGCACCAUCUGCUGGAGAAGAGCCAAAACCACAGAAAGUGAUGCCUUUUCAUUUCUUCUGCGCCCUCUGCACUUGCAGUGCCCAGAAUCUUGAUUUUGCUCUCUAAAUGGCUCAGAAUUCUCACCCAGUUCUGUCUUCCAUGGACAGUGCUCCCUUCCUCAAAGUUUGGAGCCCACACAAUCUGAUUAUUAUUAUAGCCACAAGAAGUCAGAAAGCCACUUCUGUUUACAAAGAGUCUCGAGUUACAGCUUCAAAGGAGGAGGAUGAGUGCUAACACUUAGCAAAGCUCUCUCCAGGUACCCAGAGGUCCUGCCCUUUCCAAUACAUUCUGGAGAGCCUUGGCUCAUCAGAAAGAAAAACAUAAAGAAGAAAAAUAUUUUUCUUUCCCUCAGACAUUUACUUUUACUUUUUCCCCUGUGACUUGCAUGAGUUAAGAUUCCUUUAAAGCACUUUUUUUAAAAAGGUGGGUAUUUGGAGGAGAAUGCUUUUUCUGGAUGCCCUUCUUCCUCUUGCUUUCACACUCACCAGUUGGCUCCCUGGAGGGUGGUUGGUUCUUGGGUUCUAGGAGUCAGCUCCAGGGUCUUCCCUUCUGACACUGGAGCUCACUCUCGUUCACAGCUCUCCACCCAGGUGCCAUCUGUAUUAGCAGGCUUUCCACAGAAUUCACUCUUUGCAAAGGGAUUUGCUAAGAUGGCGCAAUAAGAACAUUAUUAGUCGAUAAGUAAUAGGGUGGGAAAGUGGGUACAGCACUAGGACUAGAGUCAGGAGAACUUGGGUUCAAAUUUGGCCUCGGAUAAUAAUUCGCUAUGUGACUCUGAGCAAGUUCUUUCACUUUUCCCCCUCAGUUUUCACUUCUAUAAAAUGGAGGUAAUAAUAGCUCUUAUCUCAUGCAGUUGUUGUGAGGAUAAAAUGAGAUCUCUGCAAAGCAUUUAGCACAUCAGAGCUAUAUAAAUGCUAGUUGUGAUGAUUAUCAUUGUAAAGCACGCCUCCCAUAAGUCUUGGGUGACCUCCUGGUAAGAAUGUGCUCAGACUUGAUGAAUAAUGGCACUGGGGAAAGGGCGUACAGUUUGAGAAGGCACAGGGAGAGGGAGGCAAGAGGAGAGAAAUCCCUUUUUCUACCAUUUAAAGGUCUCUUCCCCAAACUCUGAAGCCACCCUCUUCAGUUUAAGAGGAGAAAAAACAAGAGUGUGCUAGUAAAUGUUCAAGAAUGACCCCCCCACCAAAGGGUAUUCACAACACACCUUUACAUUUAAUCUGCAGGAUUAACCUUUUCUCCAGCACUUUCCUAAGCACUGACAAUCAGCAAAUAAGAAAUCAACCCCCAUUUUGCCAGUUUCUGCAGUAUAAAUGCUCCCACUGAAAAUUUAACAAUCAGAGAAUGUUUGAGCUGGCUCUAGCAUGUACCGAGCAAAAGGAACUUCCAGCUGUUGGUACUGAAGAGUCAGGGAGUUCUUUCUCUCUCCUGCUGAACCCUCAUACAAUUUCUCUCAGACAAGAUGGAAAAGAAGGGUUAUAGCUUUAUAAUUUGCUUGUUUUAUAUCAGCUUGUCUUACUUGUUUAUAUCAGUUUAGUUCACAAGUCAUUCUUCAAAGAACAUUUCUAUUGUAUUCAAUGUUCUCUUGGUUCUGUUUGUUUCUUCUCUUCAUAAUUUCAUGUAGCCCUUUCCAUGUUUUUAAAAAUAAUUCACCUGCUGGUCAUUUCUUACAGCACAGUAGCAUUUUAUCACAAUCAGUUGAUGGGCAUCCCCCUCCAUUUCCACAAAGAGAGCUGCUACAAGUAUUUUAGGACACAGAAGUUCUUUUCCUUUUCUCUAAAUUGCCUUAAGAAAUUAACCUAACUGUGGUAUAAAAAUAAUGAAUAAAUAAAUAAACAAAUAAAAAUAAAAGGUAUGUAUGUACAGUUGUAUAACCCUUUGUUUCUAGAUUACUCUCCAAAAAGUUCCCAAUUCCACCAACAGUAUAUUAAUGCCCUCAAUUUUUUACAUUCCUUCCAAAGUUUGUCAUUUUGCCUUUUUAUCAGACCAGUGGUUCUCAACCUUUCUAAUGCCGUGACCCUGCAAUACAGUUCCUCAUGUUGCAGUGACCCCAAACCAAAAAAUUAUUUUGGUGGCUACUUCAAAACUGUAAUUUUGCUACAGUUAUUAUUCGCAAUGUAAAUCCCUAAUAUGCAUUAUGUAUUCUCAUUGCUACAAAUCAAACAUAAUUUAAACAUAGUGAUUAAUCACAAAAAAAAAUAUUUUAAUUAUAUGUUCAGAAAUACUAAUCCAGCAGGAGGCAGCCUGAGCUGGGGUGGGAGGUAAGUCCUGCCUGGGGAGGGGGUCCACAGACACUGCCUUCUUCUUCCUGUCGUCUCCCUCCAGCUCGAGCUGAGGCUUCACUUUGCUGGGGUUACUCAGCUCUGUUAUCCGCUCCAGGAGUUAUCCACUUCAGGACUCAUUCUUAACCCCUCCAGAGCCAGUGCCCGGGUACUCUCUCUGGGUCUCUGAGUGUGGUCUCCAGGCAACAGGGUAAAUCCAUCGCACCUCAUAGGGGGAGGGAUGCUGAUAAGUAACUAAUAUUUGUACAAUGUCCAGGCAGCAGGGUCCCCGUUCUUUCCGAGAUCUUGCUGUAAAGUAGCGUGAUUUCUUAGCAGCUAAAGCCAUUGGAAAUAUGUAUUUUCCAAUGGCUUUAGGCGACCCCUGUGUUUUGGUCGUUCAACCCCCUCCGGGGGUUGCGACCCACAGGUUGAGAACCGCUGUGUUAGACCAUCUGAUAGGUGUGACAUGAUACCUCAAAAUCUUGUUGCAUUUCUCUAACCAAUAAUGAUUAUGUUCUUUAAAAUGUGAUUAUAUGUAUCUUUGAUUUCUUCAUCUAAAGAAUCUACUCAUUUUUUAUCAUUUGGAGAAUGGCUCAGAUUCUUAUAUAUUGGACCAAGUUCUCUAUAUAUUUUGGUUAUGAGACCCCUAAGAAACUGUCUAUAAAUUUUUCCCAUUUUUUUGUUUUCCUUCUAAUCUUGGCUACAUUAGCUUUAUUUGUACAAAAUUUAAUCUGAUCAAAAUUAUCCAUUUUAUAUCCCCAUAUGUUUUUCUUUUCUUUAUCUUGUUUAUUCAUAAAUUCUUCUUCUACCCAUAAAUCUGAUAGAUAAUAUGUUCCUUGUUCUUUUAAUUUGCUUAUAACUCCCUUUAUGUCUAGGCCAUGUAUCUAUUGGUAAAUGGUAUAAGAUAUUGGUCUAGACCUACUUUCUGUAAGACUGUUUCCUAGUUUUUCCAAUAACUUUUUCUAAAUAGCAAAAUGGAAUAUCUCAAUAAGCCCAUUUUUGAAAAUGAAAUCGAACAGGUCAUAAAUGAAUUUCAUAAGAAAAAAAGCAUGAAAUGAGUUUACAAGUAAAAUCUAUCUAACAUUUAAAAAUCAUCUAAUUCCAGUAUUCAGUAAAUUAUAUAGAAAUUGGUAAUGGAGUCCCGCUAAACUCAUUUUAUGAAACAAAUAUGGUGCCAAUUUCUUAAACCAGGAAGAACAAAAGCAAAGAAAGAAAAUUAUGGACCAAUUUCAUUAAUAAAUACAGAUGAAAAAUUCCUAAAUAUAAUAUUAGCUAGAAGACUAUAAUAAUAUAACUCCAAAAUAAUUAUGACCAAAUAAGAUUUGUACCAGAUGUAAUAUAAGGGAAAUUAUUAAUAUAAGUGCUUAUAUCAACAAAAAGCAACAAAAAUCAUAUUAUUAUAUCAAUAGAUACAGAAAAGGCUUUUGACAUAGGUAUAGAUGGAUUUUCCCUCAGAGUAAUAAAAAGAAUAUACCUAAAACCAUUAGCAAACAUUUUCUGUGAUGCAGACAAGUUAAGAGCCUUACUUAUAGGAUCAGGAGUAAAACAAGGAAGCCCAUUAUCACCAAUAUUAUUGAACACUGUAUUAGAAAUGUUAUCAAUAGUAAUAAGAGAAGAAAAGGAAAUUGAAGGAAUUAGAACUGGUAAAGAGUAAUGAAUUGUCACUUUUAGCAGAUGAUAUGAAUGUAUAAAUGGAAAAUCUUAGAAAUUCAACUAAAAAGUUAGUUGCAACUAUCAAUAAAUUUAGUAAAGUAGUAGGAUAUAACAUAAACGCACAUAAUUCAUCAGCAUUUUUAUGCAUCACUAACAAACUCCUAGGAGAUAAUAAAAUAUGUUAUUUAAAAUAACCAUGAACAGAAUAAAAUAUCUGCCAAAACAAAGCCAAGAAAAAUGUGAACAUAAUUAUAAAAUAUUUUUAUAUAAACAAAGUCAGAUUUAAAUAAUUGUAGACAUUUUAGUUGUGCAUGGUUGGGCAGAUUCAAUAUAAUUAAAAUGAUAAUCCUAUCCAAACUAAUAUACUUAUUCAAUGCCAUCCCAAUUAAAUGAUCAGAAAGUUAUUUUAUUGUACUAGAAAAAAUAAUAACAUAAUUCCUUUGGAAGAACAAAAGAAAUCAAGAAUUAAAGGAAUUUAUGAAAAAAGUAAGGAAGAUUUUAAACUGUAUUAUAAAGCAGCAAUUAUUAAAAUUAUCUGGUACUGACUAGGAAAUCAAAAAGUAGAUCAGUAGAACACAACAAACAUACAACAAACAAUAACAAAAGAUUAUAGUAACCUUAUAUUUUGACAAAAGUAAAGAUCUAAGAUUUAGGGAUGAGAAUUCAUCAUUUAGCAAAAAAAUGUUGAAACACUAACUUUCAUUUCUAACUUUCAAGUCAUUGAUCUCUAACUUCCCCUCUGAGCAAACAAAUCCAAAGAGCAAUUGGAUUCUCCCUAAGAGUAUAACAAUCAGGACAAUAGAUAUCAUCACUGAAAAUAGAGGUACAUGUUUGCUUUCCUUUCUGUGUCAUUAUAUGGGCUGUCUGUUAUCCCUCACUGCAAAACUUACCUCCCUUAUCAGUGAAGUACUUCUUGGAUGGAAUCUUUUAUACUAUUUGUAGAAAGGUCUUACAAUUUAGAUUGUUUGGAGAUAAUUAUAAGAUAACUUUCCUAAUGCUCCUUACUGCUGGUUUCCUUCUUCACUAACUACCUUAUAUACUUUUAUGUAUUCAUUCUACUUAUAUUUGUUCUGUAUUUUCUUACAUAUGUACAUAUCCCUCUGAUAGAAUGUAAGGUCUUCAAGAGCAAGGAUCAUUUUAUUUUUUCUUUGUAUCCUAAAGAUCCAGAAUAGGGCCUGGCACAUAGUAGGUAGUUAAUAUAUUUUUUAAAAAAAAUUUGUAGAUAUUUUAUUUUCCAUGGUUACAUGAUUCAUGAUCCUCCCACCCACCCACUAUUUCCUCCUCACUCUCGAUGCUAACAAGCACUUCCACUGGGUUAUACAUGCAUCAUUGCUCAAAAUCUAGUUUCAUGUUAUUCAUAUUUGCAGUAGAGUGAUCUUUUAACAUCAAAACCCUAAUCAUAUCCCUACUGAACUAUAUGAUUAAUCAUAUGGUUUUUUGAACUAUAUGAUUAAUCAUAUGGUUUUUUUUCUGCAUUUCUGUUUCCACAAUUCUUUGAAUGUGGAUAGUAUUCUUUCUCAUAAGUCCCUCAGAAUCAUCCUGGGUCAUUGCAUUGCUGCUAGUAGAAAAGUUCAUUACAUUUGAUUGUACCACAGUGUAUCAGUCUCUGUGUACAAUGUUCUCCUGGUUCUGCUCCUCUCACUCUGCAUCACUUCCUGGAGGUCGUUCCAGUUCACAUGGAAUCCCUCCACUUUAUUAUUCCUUUUUUAACACAAUAGUAUUCCAUCACCAACAUACACCACAAUUUGUUCAGCCAUUCCCCAACCGAAGGGCAGUCCCUCAUUUUUCACUUUUUUUGCCACCACAAAGAGCACAGCUAUAGAUAUUGUUGUACAAGUCUUUCUCCUUAUUAUCUCUUUGGGGUAGAAGCCCAAUAGUGGUAUGGCUUGGUCAAAGGGUAUGCAUUCUUUUGUUGCCCUUUGCACAUAGUUCCAAAUUGCCCUCCAGAAUAAUUGGACCAAUUCUAUCAGCAGUGUAUCAGUGUCCCAAUUUUGUCACAUCCCCUCCAAAAUUUAUCACUUUCCUUUAGUGUCACUAGGUAUAAGGUGGUACCUCAGAGUUGUUUUAAUUUACAUUUCUCUAAUUAGGAGGGAUCUAGACCACUUUUUCAUGUGCUUAUUGAUAGUUUUGACUUCAUCAUGUGCAAACUACCUAUUCAUGUCCCUUGACCAUUUGUCAAUUGAGGAAUGGCUUGGUUUUUUGUAAAUAUUGGUUAAUAAGUUACUGAUUGCUUAUGAUAUAUUUGUAGCUAUUCUAUAGCCAUUUCACUUUACCAGAAGAAUCUUCAUGUUAGAGACAUAGGUGUUUUCUGGUAGGGAACAACUUGAGAUUGUUGAAUGGCAUAUGAACUUUCCCAAAUAUAAGUAGCCUAUAAGAAGAUUGUCUAUUUUAUAUAGAACUCCCACAAAGUAAGUGUUCACAUGGAGGUCAGAAGAAGAGACACAAAGACACUCUCAAGAUCUCUCUGAAGAACUUUAGUAUCAUUUGUGAGGCAUGGGAGAUAUAGGCAUAGGACCAUCCAUCACAGUGCGCCUGGAUCAAAGAAGGUUCUGUAUUCUAUGAGCAAAGUAGAAUUGCAUUAGCUCAAAAGAAAUGUGAGAUACACAAAUUUAGAUAUAUCGCCAUCCUAAAUAUUCAUGAGAACUAUUCCUGCCUAAUUUGUGGUAGAGUCUUCUGAACUCAUUUUGGUCUGCUUAGCCAUAGCUGGAUACACUGUAUGUUGACCCUGACAUAGUAAUGUCUUUUUGGUCUUCUUCUAAUACAAAAGACAACAACCAACCAAGCAACUAAAUCUAGAUCUAAUUAGGUCCAUUUGGAGUACCUUUCCAAGACAUACAGUUUAUGUUUAUAGGUUAACUCAGUAGGCUACCCAUCCAACUGCAUGUUUCAGUCUGGACUGUAGAAAUACUUCAUCCAUUUGUUUUUUCCUGUGUGGAUGGUUAGGAAUAUCCUUUUUUUUUUUUUGAAAGGUUACAGAUCUCAAUAAGGAUCCCUAACCUUUAAUAUUCUAGAGCUUAAUGCAGCACAAUCAAUGUCUAUGUCAGAUAAGAAUAUUGGAAGAUCUUAUCAUCUAUAGGAAAUCUCUCUUCUAUUUAGACUCUGCAAAGGAUAUCCUCCCUGACAGUGAUGAACAUCUUUGGGGAUCAUAUAUUUCCCUUUUUUGUACCUCAUUUACUAUCCGGUAUCAGAAUCAGUGAAUAAAGUAAUCUCUGGAGUUAUGCCUAUCAAAGACUCUCGUAUGCUUUUAACAUAUACAUGGGAAAUACUUUGUUGGAGGAAAGCUUCUAAAGUUAUAUUACAUUCUACCAAGUCAAGUUCUCCUUUUAAAAAAAUUAACAAUGAGUAAUAGAUAUUAUAUUUUCUUAUACUAUUAUAUUCUCAAUACUUUUUGGUGAAUUGAAUGACUAUAAAUAGAUGGUCACCUAAAUAAAAUUGUAUAGAAAGCUGUCUAUUCCUCUCUCCUGCCUUUGUUAGGAAUGCCCUAGAUAUGUAUUUAGUUCAUUCUUUUAAAGAUUUUAUGAAGGUAAAAAGUAAGCAUCUGGAUCAGUAAAAAUAAUAAUAGUAAUAACUAAAUCUGACAUUUAUGUAGAGCUUAGAAGUUUAUGAAGCAUUUUACCUAUAUUCUAGAAUAUAUAGGUGACUAGUGUGAAGACUGGAUUUCGCUUUCCCCUGAUUGUAACAAUGAAGGUACUUAGCUCUUCCUUGAUUGUGAAGAUUUAAUUGUAAUCCCCUGUCUAUUUUUAGAUUUUAAUCCCCACAGUGUAAACACAGUACUUAACAUUGAGUAUGAAGAUCUACCCAUUUUGGAUUUUAACCACAAAAAGGUGUGAACACCCAUUUCAUACAUUGACUGGAAGGUCUGUGACCCACAUGUGAAAGGGUGGGCAGUCCUGGAGUGGAGUGUCAGCUGUGAUUGGUAGACAUAAAAUUUAGGGGCAGUGACAUAAGAGAAAAAGGUCUUUAAAGGUGGAAACAGAGACACACAGAGAACAGACACUUGGACUGAAGAGAGACUUGAAGGGAGUCACUUGGAGUGAAGUCUGAUGGAAUUGAGGCUGAUAAAAGAAUAGUAGAAUUUCUACUAUAGCUCAGAGGAAGCCAGAAUGCUCUCUCUCCCCCCACCCCCUUUCUCUCUCUUGCCUUUUCUCUCUUCCCUAAUAUCAUCCCUCUAUUGUAAAAUAAACUACCAUAAAUUCCAUUUGACUUUAGUAAAUUCAUUUUUGGGAUUUAGAAAUUAAAUCUCUGGUGACCAAUUAAAUCUGUUCAGUCCAACCAUAAAUUUAACAAUCUGGCUGACAUCGGUUGUGACAAAAUACCCUCAAUCUUCUUAACUUUCCCAAACUUUUCCUUUACUGUGACUAUCCCUAAGUCAGCUUUUAAUAGCUUAUUUUGAAUCUAUACAAAUCAGGUGAAGAGGUCAGUUUGCUGUUUCCAAUUCUCCCUUGCCCUAGGGAACAAUCAACCUAAUUAGGUGACCCUCACUGGCAAUACUAGCUAGAUGGAUUGCUCUUAACUAGCAGUGAGGAAAACCUGGAGAAAGGAGUCCUGCUAGAGAGAGUGAUUGUAUUAAAGUUUUAGCCUUGUCUAGCUCUGCCCUUUCACCCAGAAGAGUUAAUUGGAUUAAAACUUUUAAAAGGACCACACCCAAACACCUAAAAAAAUGUGGUUAGAGCCAGUACACAACUUAAUUAACAAUUGGAUUUUCAGUAAAAUAACCAAAAUUGGACAAACAUUGUUCUUUGUCUAUUUCAUAAUCCCAGAGAAUGUAUGGCAAUUGCUAUACUCUGCAUUGCUCCUGGUUGUGAUUUUAAUUGUUGGAGCUAGAAUGUUAUAUCUAUUUUUCGCUAAGAGGAACCUGAAAAAUACCACACAUAAGCUAGAGAAUCAGAUAGGAGACUUAUGUCAGUCUCCCCUUGAAAAAUUCAUUUAUGGGUCAAACCAAUGUUCCUUCUAUUACUCAACAAAAUGUGGAACUAAAAGCUCAGCUUAAGUAUAACUCAAGUUGACUGGAAAUUGUGGAGGAGAGAUUGGGGGAGAUCAUGGCUUUUAUAAAAAACAAUGAAAUGAAUUUAAAACCACCCCAGAGUAGGAGUGACUUAUCUCUCCAUACUUCCUCAUUAUCAGAAUCUCCGUCCCACCCUGAUCUACACAAUAUGGCUCCUAGUUCACAAACUAUCCCCUCCCAUUCCCAACUUACUCUUUCCCCUACUACCCAAUCCACUUGCCCCUCACCCAUACUGACUGCCCCACCCCUCCACCCUAAUCCCCCACCCUGCCCAUUCCUCCUGCCCCACCCCCUUGCAUCCUCCCCUACACCCCUUUUCCCUUCCUUCCCACCCUGCCCAAUUCAUUUUCCCAUACUGCUCCUACCUCUCAUCUUUUUGGCAUCAUGGGCCCACAACCUCUCCCCCUCAGCUCUACCACCCCUUCCCCUUCUCUUACCAAUCCCAUUGAAAACAGAGCAAGAAGCCCAGAGACAGAAAAAUGAGAAAAUUCAGAUAGAAGUUUAUUCCCUUUAAGGAAAAUUCCAACUUUCAAUAAAAAUGGGAACUUGGUAUCUAUAAGACAACAUACACCUUUCAGUCCUGAGGAUUUAAAUACAUUUAAGGAAUAUCUUCUCUCAUUCAAGGAAGAGCCUAUAUUAAUUAUAAAAAGAUUGGAGAACAUAUUCAAAACUUUUGACCCUACUUGGAUAGAUGUCGAAAAUUUAUUAGAAAAAUUUCUGACAAAGAGAGAGAGAGAGAGAGAAAUAAAAUAUCUCUUUGGCUAAUCAGAAGCAAGGUAAGGGAGAAAAUUAUUGGUCAACUGAAAAAUCUACAAUGGAACCCCAAUGUUGAACCAUAUUAUACAAAACUAAACCAGGCCAGAGAAGUAUUAUUGACAGCCAUGCGAGCGUGCUCUGAUAGACCAGAUUCAUGGUCUAAAUUCAAAAGCACCAAACAAGAAAUAAAUGAGACUCCCUCCCAGUUUAUGGACAGACUUUUUGAUGUGGGGAAUAUAUAUAUGGACUUUGAUCUAUCCAGAGAAAGAGACAUUAGACAAAUAUGUGGACAAUUUGUUAAGAACUGUUGUUCAGUGGUAAAAGAAUGCUUUAAAACUAGCUGCCCGAACUGGGACUCUAUGGACCUUGAGGAACUGAGGAGAGUAGCAAUCUAUGUUUAAAAGGGCCAUACAAAAAGACAUAAGGAAAACAGUAAACCAGUGGAAGAUAUACAGGAAAAAUUGAAAUAUUAAAAAGAAAACUAAAAAAUCAGGGAGAGACCAUAGACCCUUUUCAGGAAUCCACAGAUAAAUCAAUAACAUGCCUUUACUGUGGAAAAAGAGGCCAUGUAAUGAUGAUCUGUAAGAACUGGCUAUGGAGAAAAAGAAAUAAUAACAACUUUAGAAGUAAUAAAUAUAGAAAUGACUAUAAUAAUGAUUAUAGAAAUCACAACUUUAGAACUGAUAGAAAUAACAAUAAUGACUAUAGGAAUCAAAAUUUUAGAAAUCAAAAUUAUAGAAAUAGAAAUUGGGAAAAUGAUAACUCAAACCAACUAACUCCAUAACAGUAUAACUUAAGUGGAGCUCAUCCAAAAAAUACAAAGGGUGCUACUGCCCCUCCACAUAGGGCAGAAGGUGAUGCCCCUUAGACUCUAUUGUUUUUGUCAAUAUUAACCCUUUUCAGUUUUGUCUCCCCUCCAAAUAGUAGCAAAGAAGAAGAAAUGGAUUUUUUUUAAAUACAGUAUCUCUGUGACAACCUUCUGUUGAUAAUGAAUAAUUGACUACAUUGAUUGUAUUUAACUAUUGAUUAUGAUAAGACUUCCCUAUUGAAGGAUCUGUACUAUUUUAUUGCACUUUAUUUAUGCCAUACAGCAUUUUAUUUUGUUUUUUAUCUUUUUUCCUCUUUUUCGUUUUCUCAUUUUUUUUUGCAUUUGAAGGACAUGUAAUUGUAUUGAAAAGAUUUUCUUUCAACUAUCUUUGAUUUUUGCAAUAAGCUAAGAUAUCCAUUUGCUUAGCAUAAAAAUGCAUACCUCAAAAGCUUUAGACUAUGGAAACCUGCCAUUUAUUGAUAAAUAUUAUGGGUCUGUGAUUUAUGCUUGUAUCUAAUUCUAGGAAAUGACAUUAAAAAAAAAGGAGCACAGACUUUAUCUACAUUGUGCCAUAGAAGCACAGAUUUAACCUGAAAAGUGCCAAAACAGCACACAGGUCAAAAAGAAACCAAUCCAUGUGGGAUUGAUGAACUUCUACGCCAAUAUGAAAGGACUUGAACCUAGUGUGAGACUCAAGGUUGCAGCACUUGACAUAUGUUAGGAUACAGGACUCCUUGAACCACACUCCUUGUAAAAUACUUUCUAUGAAAGUACCUAACAACUUGCUAGUCUGGCUCCCCUAUCCCUGAGAAAUGAUGAAAUAUCAGACCAGGAAAUGACACUUCCCUUUUACAUCUUAUAGUACGGCAACUUCCUGUAGCCCUAGCUUAUUAUGGGUAAAUAAAAUAUUACUGCAUUUUUUCCCCUACAGAUUUGUAGGAAAGAAAUUUACUUUAAUUGGAUCCUAUUAACAAGAGCCUGUUAUGAAUUUAUUCUUUUUUAAUUCAGAAAUUUUAUAUGCAUAGUUUUUUAUAUUUUUAUUCUGAUUUUGACUUUUUUAUUUCUCUCAAAAGCUUAUUUUUUUCUUCUUUUUUUCUUUUAUAUUUUUGUUUUUUUUCUUUUGAUAAUUGACUCAUACACCCAUAAAUCAACCACUUUGAGUUGAUCUGGGUGUUGGUGAACACCCUCUUCAGGGGGGGUUGUAUUUUUAUUAAAAAAAAAUCCAAGAUUUAAAAUUUUGUUUAAGAAGAAUUUAAGGAAAAGAAGUUUGCCAACUCCUUGAAUUUAUAGAAUGAACUCUUUGAAGAAAGAUGCUUGAAGAAACCUACACUGCAUCAAGAAGAUCCAGAAUGAACUUUUGGGUGCAAUUGAUUGUACAGAAGGGGAUUAAAAAUUUAUUGUAAAUGUACACUUUUAUGCCAAAGGAGACUGCCCCCUAAUUUGGCUUUUUGUCAAUGUGCCUAGCAAAACAUCGGUUUUGCUUUCUUUCUUUUCUAUUUCCCUCUUAUCUCUAAGUAUUGUAAUUUCCACUUACAAAGUGAAAUAUUGUAUACAUCUGUAGUUAGAAGUUUUUAGGGGUACAAGAUAAUUAUGUUAAAUGAUCAAUGGGGAGACUAAUCUCCCAAUGAUCAUGGGGGGAUUGUGAAGAUUGGAUUUUGCUCUCCCAGGAUUGUAAAAAUAAAGAUAUGUAGCUCUUCCUUGAUUGUGAAAAUUUAAUUCUAAUCCCCUGUCUAUUUUUAGAUUUUAAUCCCCAAAGUGUAAACACAGUACUUAAAAUUGAGUAUAGAGAUCUACCCAUUUGGGAUUUUAACCACAAAAAGGUGUGAACACCCAUUUCAUACACUGAAUGGGAGGUCUGUGACCCACAUGUGAAAGAGUGGACAGUCCUGGAGUGGAGAAUCAGCUGUGAUUGGUAGACAUAAAAUUUAGGGAAAAUAACACAAGAGGAAAAAGAUCCAACCAUAGAUUUAACAUUAGGUGGCUCAGUGUAUAGAGCAUCAGACCUGGAGUCAAGAAGACCUGAGUUCAAAUUCUACUUCAGAUACUUACCAGCUAUGUGACUCUGGGCAAAUCACUUAACCCUAUAUGCCUCAGUUUCCUCAUCUGUAAAAAUAAGUUGGAUACCACUGCAGUAUCUUUUCCAAGAAAAUCCCCAAUGGGGUCACAAAGAGUUGGACAUGACUGAAAUGACUGAACAACAGCAAUGUUGUUGGUUGUCUCUCGAACCGAGGAUGACGAUUGUCUUUGUGCGUUUUUGUGCACAAAGACACCUGUGCAUGAAGAUUUAAGUGGAAAAGUUGAUGCACAGAGACAGUCAAUUUGAUCUCAUUUGAUCAGUAUUUAUUUGAUCGUCUUUUUAGCUAAUAAGAAUUACCUUUAAUUUCCUCUAGUUGAGUAUUUUCCUUUCUUUCAAAUAUCUUGAAAUUUGAUAAAUCAAUGUUUUCACAUUUGUGUCACUUUCAACACAAAUGUGUUCUGUGUAUCUGGUCUGACUUUUUUUUCAACUCCUCUUUCCUUUGUUCCUUUCAUCAUGUCAGUUGUGCUCCCAUAUAUGACAUACUGAAUGGUUGAGUCCAAAUGUUCUAAAGUCACAGAUAGUGAAAAACAGUUUAUUAUAGAAAUUAUGACAGAUCUGUUCCAUCUAUGUGUGUGUGUGUGUGUGUGUGUGCGCGCGCCCCUAUCAUCCUUCCAGUUUUUCUAUAGAUGCUUAUUCACAAAGUUUUGUACAUAUUCAGUCAUUACUGUUUUCUAAUUUCUGAGGUCAUCCUGCUCACAGUUUUCUGCUACCUUCCGCUGCAGUGUUGUAAACUUGUUUCUAUUUGAAAAUGGUGCUGAGAGUAGCUAGGUGGUACAGUGGAUAGAGUGCCAAAUUUGAAGUCAGGAAAUCCUAGGUUCAAAUCUGACUUCAGACAUUGUGUGAGUCACUUAAUCCCAUUUGCCUAGCCCUUGCCUUUCUGUCUUAGAGGUUUUGUUUGUUUGUUUACUAAGUAAAGACAAAAAGUAAGGGAUUUCUUUAAAGAAAGAAAAUAAUAUUGUCUUUGGGUACUUGAUCAGUGUGCCUGGCAAAUAUAUUAAAUGACUAGAAGCUAAAGUAGCUUCUGAACUCCUUUGAACUCCUCAGAGUGUUGAUGGCUUUACAUCAACUAAACUUCUGUAAAUAAUGGAAACAGUUUGUUUUGUUGACUUCCCCCCUUUUUUCCAUCACUAGCAUGUCUGAUGAGGUCAAGUUGGGUCCAUUAUAAUUACACAGAGUGUCUUCUCAUCUUUAUUCCAUGUCAUCUCCCAUAUAUUCUAGAAUACAAUUGUGAUCUCAUCUCUCAACAGUGUUCCUCUCAAUGAUCCAAAUCAAAAACUAUUCAUUCCUUUCUUUCCUGUCCAUAUCUUCGCACAAAUUCGCCAAUCAACAGCCCAACCAACCUAGUGAGAACCUUCCAUGCUUUCUUCUUCCAUUUCACAGACACUCAUACAUAGGACACAAAAGCUAUUCACUAGCUGUCCUUCACAUUUACCACGUAAUCAACCUAGUUUUCUUUUUUAUUUUUUAACAAGUCAACAAAGAUUUAUUAAGUGCUUUCAAUGUUCCAGGUCCUGUGAUAAAUGCCAAGGAUAGGAGGAAAGGAAAAAAAAAAACCAGAUCUUGAGCUCAAGGAAUUCCCAGUCUAAUGAGGAGAGACAAAAUGCAAAUAAGUAUAUACAAACAAGAUAUAUGCAGGCUCAAUUGGAGGGAAAAUUUCUCAGAGGGAAAACAGCAAUAUCAGUAAGGAGGAUCAAGAAAGGUUUUUAUGGAAGGUGAGACUUCUUGAGGCUUGAAGUAAGCCAGAAAGGUCAGGGGGGAGAAGUGAGGAAGGAAAAUAUUCUAAGCACAGGGGAUAGUUAGUGAAAAUGCAUACAGUUGGGGGAUUCAAUGUUUCAUUUGAGGAACAGCAAGGAGGCUAAUAUUUAUUGGAUUGUGGAUUUUGUGGAUGGAAGUAUGAUGUGAAAAAGAAAAGUAGAAAGGAAAAGACCCAGUUCUGAAGGCUCUAAAAGCCAAGUGAAGGAUUUUAUGCUUGGUUCUAGAGAAUAACACAGUUCUUUGAUAACAUUCUUUACUCCAAUUAUUCUUUUUGGUUCUUAAGUUUUUUAGUGCAUUGCUGCCAGCUCACAUCUACCAUAUGUUCCCUGAUGCCCUAUGAAGAGUAGUUAUUUUUAAUUUUUUGAAGACCAGUAUUGCAUAAUUUGCAAAAGGUCUGGUAGAAUAUUGGCAUUAAAAAAAGAUGACCUUUAUUUCUGGUGUCAUCAAAGACCCUUUGUCAUUUUCAGAAGACAACACACCUUCAUCCCCUCAUCCUAUUCAAAUCUGGGUCCAACUCAUGGUACCUAUUCAAGAUGGCCCCUGCAACAAAUAUAAGUACGUAAGCUGCAAUUAUUUUCAUGACAGGUUAUUUCUUGGCAAAUACUUAUCAUGAGUACUACAAUACAAGAUGACAGAAUGCCCAAUGAAAUGAUGUUUCUGGUUGCUUCAGGGUGCACAAUAAAAUCAGCUCCUUUAUUUGUCUCUCCAUGGAGAAUCAAUAAGCCAUCCUUCCUUGAACUAACUAUUUUUAUGUCUUCUUUUUUGAGAGAGAGAGAAUAUCAAGACUGGUUCAACUCAAUUGUUCCAGUCAUGUGUAUACUGGUUGACCAUUGGAUCAAAAUUUUGUGUUCAAAUAAAGGAAAAUUGAGGGAUUUUUCACUGAACAAAACAAAAUAACCAAACAUUUGGAUUUGCUACUGACAGGUAUUCAUAAUGAAGACAGGAAUCCAGACUAAGAAGGUGUGAAACAAUUACCUUACCUCCUUCUCUGAUUUUUUUUUAAACCGUUACCUUCCAUCUUGGAAUCAAUACUGGGAUUUGGUUCCAAAGGAGGAGAGUGGUAAGGGCUAGGCAAUGGGGGCUAAGUGACUCGUCCAGGGUCACACAGCUGGGAAGCAUCUGAGGCCAGAUUUGAACCCAGGACCUCUCGUCUCUGGGCUUGGCUUUCAAUCCACUGAGCUACCCAGCUGCUUCCCUUCUCUGAUCUUUUGUUGUGGUUCAAAUUAAUUUGCUUAUGAAGCCAGAGCAAAUCUUGGGAAUACCCAACCCUGUUACAUCAUUAUCUAUAACACACAUAUAUACAUACAUGCACACACAUACAUAUAUGAUGAUGUAGUUUAGGCUCAUGUGUAUAUGUACAUAUACAUACACAAACAUAUAUACACAAGGGCAUUUGUAUAUGUUUAUAUGUAUGUGCAUGCAUAUUGAAAUAAGUAACCUGAAAUUAUAUAUAUACAUAUAUAAAUAUAACUAAAUUAAUAGUUUAUUUUAAAAUAAGGGAAGAAAGGGAAGGGAAUUGGGAUGAUCUGUGUAAAAACAAAUCAAGUUUUUAACCCCCCUAUCUAAUACUUUUCUACCUACAAAUCGACUUCCUACAACUAGUUAAAUUAAACCCCCUUAGCUAAUCUAUAAAAUGGGAAGGAAUUGAAGGUACCAGGUACAGGGUUCAAAGGAGAGUCUCACUGACAGUUGUCCUCUGGAGUCUUGAGUAGCUCUGUUGGAAAGCACUGUCAGCAUCAACAGGAUUCACAGGGACGUGUUGAAUCACAAGGAGAGCCUCAGGAGAGAGAAUAUCUAGCUCUCUAGGUCCACCCCAGAAGACUGUCUCUCUCAGAAGAAGAAAACUGCCUGCCACUUCUCCAGAGUUCUGGAAUCUUGCUCUUCUGCCCUGCAGGAUCUCUUGCUCCUGGUUUGUAGCAUUGCUCUGGCUCCUGCUAAUUUCCCUUUAACAAUAUCUAUCAGAGAGAUAGAGUUAGAUAUCUCUAGCAUGACAACAUUCUCUUUGCCAAGACAUAGGGGCUGAUCCAAAACAUGAAAAGGAAAAGUCUCAGCAAUGGUCUGGGAAUAAUCUGCCUAGCUGGGGUUGGUUGGCAUGGUGAGUAUGACUAAAAAUCCAUCAAUUUGCCUUUAUUGGGGGCAUUGGCCACGAUACCCUUGUAGAUUGGAGCUGAGAUGGCUGGCAGACAGCUUUAAAAAUGAGCCAGAAGCUGGUAGCAUGGAACAGUACCUAGAAAAGACUAAACACUAAGCAACACUUGGCAGUGACUACCAUAGCCAGCAUGGAUGAUGAGGGAAUGGAAGGGAAUAAGUCUUUUUAAUUAAGCACCGAUUAAGUACCUAUUUUGUUUCAGGCACUAUGCAUUUCACAGAUAUUCUCUCGUUGAGCAAGGCUAAGCUGAAAAUGCAUGCUCAGCAGUCACUGUGAGUCUAAUGUAGAACAGUGAAGCAACACACCAAAUGGAGGUUGUGGUACCUUCCAAUGGGAAGCAGAUCCAGGGAGAGUAGAAUGAUGGCGGCGCCUCCAGAAGAUAUUGCUGCUCCUAGAGUGUUGGAAGAAUGCUCUGACAACACAUGGUCUUUACAGGUGCUCCCCUGCUUCAUGAUCCCUCUGUGUGACUACUCACUUCACAGAUGAGGGGUUUGAGGGAUAGUGUGUGAUAGGCUUAUAUUAUGGGGGGAGGGUUCUACUGGGACUUUGCUUCUUGUGCUCCUUCACUAAAGGAGCAUUUUCAUCCCAGUCUCUGAUCAGACAUCACUUUCUGACAAAGGUCCAUAUAGUCAAAGAGUCAAAACUAUGGUUUUUCCAGUGAGAAUAUGUGAUGAUGAGAAUUGGACUAUAAGAAAAAGUGAGCACUGCAGAAUUGAUGUUUUCAGAUUGUGGUGCUAGAAAAGACUAAGGAGAGUUCCUUGAACAUCAGGGAGACUAAAUCAGUCAGUACUUAAAAAAAUAAUUCAAACUAAUCAUCGGAAGGAUAAAUACCAAAGCUGAAGCUUAAAUACUUUGACCACAUAAUGAGAAGACAGGAUUCAUUUAAAAAGACCCUGCUGAAUAGAAACACAGAAGAGAAACAACUGCUUGCUCACAUGGGUUGAGGGGUAUAUGAUUGGAGAUGCAGACUCUAAAUGAUCACCCUAGUGCCAAUAUCAAUAAUAUGGAAAUGGGUCUUGAUCAAUGACACAUGUAAAACCCAGUGGAAUUGCUCAUUGGCUACGGGAGGGAGAUGGAAGAGUGGAGGGGAGCGAAAGAACAUGAAUCUUGUAACCAUGGAAAAAUAUUCUAAAUCAACUAAUUAAAUAAGAUUUAAAAAAAAAGAAAAAAGAAAAAGACCCUGAUAUUGGGAAAGAUUGCAGGAAAAAAAAGAAAGAGAUGGUGGCAGAUGAGAUAGAUGGGUAGUGUCAUGGAGACAACAAAUAUGAGCUUCCAUAGACUUUGGGAAAUAGUGUGCCGGGGACCAUGGGUCAUGAAGAACUGUACCCAACUGCAAACCUAUUAAAAUCUGACUGGUUUCACUGAGCAAAUGAUGCCAGAUUUGCUUUUGCUUUGAACUAUUUUUUUUUUUCUGAUUAGAGAAAAAGUUCACCAAUGUCAGGGCUCAUGAUUUUGAGUAGAGCUGGUUUCACAUAGCACUUUCAACCCAGAGUAGCUGGUCUGGGGGGCCCAUGUGUGCAAAGAGGGGUUCAAAAGGGCCAAAAGUUAAGUUAAAUUUUAUCAUUGUUCCCCAAACCAUGUGAUUCUGCAAACAGAACUGAGGAUCAUUUGGUAGUUUUUGUUCCUUUGUGGGUUGCAGUGGCCAAAGAAUUCCUCACCAAGUAGCCAAUCUAUUGCAUAUUUACAUAGAUAUGUAUAGAUAUAGAUGAUAGAUUUUGUGUAUGUGUGCUUUGCUACAUCAUUCUUCAUGACUCUCACCAGGAGUGCUCAGGACCACCAGUAAUGAUAAGAAUUCCAUAUAUUGGGGCGUACAUUUUUCAUUCUGAGACGACAUGUAGGGAAGAGUUUUGGGGGAAAGAAGAAUAUGAACCUCACCACAAAUACUCUGCUCUAGCCCCUUUCCACCCUCCUAGUUACAGAGCCCUCGUGGCUCACGUUUGUCAUCACCCAUGCGCGAAGGCAGACGAACAACGACCCUCAGACGCUCUUGCACAGAUUGUUACCGAUUCAUGUUCACCUUCCAGCUCUCACAAUUCCAACUUGCACAAACAUGUUUGUGUUUUCCCUGUUCCAAAAUGGGAGCUCAGUGGGUUGCCCAGGAUGUCCCGUGGUUGAUCUGAAAAAGGGCUAAGAGAAUCAUCCUACUGUCCCUUUCUCCUCCCGCUACCUCCAGGCAUAUGCACUCUCAUGGUAGCUUAAUAGGUAGAACUCUGAACUUGUAGGCAAGAAGAUCUUCGUUCUAAUCCCUUUCUAGCUAUGUAACCCUGGACAGGUCAUUUCCGCUCUAUGCCUCAGUUUCCUUAUCUGCAAAAUGGAAAUAAUAUAGAGCUGUUGUGAUGACCAAAUGAGAUAACCUGUAAAGUGCUCUGCAAACUUUAAAGCACUAUAUGAAUGGUAGUUGUUACUAAUGGAGUGAGAUUUGACUUUGCACAAGCUCAGACUGUCUAAACAUAGAGACACUCACUUGGGAGGUGUGAGGGACCUGCUUUGGGGAGAAGACAAUAGGAAUAGCCUCUCUCCAUUGCAGCUAGAAGAGGUUGUGUCUUUAUAACUACCAGAGUGGGACGGUCUUGUUUCACUUGUUCCAGCGGCAUCCCAGGGCAGUAAAGGUCUUGUUCUUCCCUAGCAUGGUCCCCAUCAACCCAUCCAUGUAGAGGACUGCCUUCGGCUCUCCCUUUUAGGUCCUGCGACCCUCAGAAAUGGGUCAUUGAGCUUUUUUGUUCCACUUUGUCCUUUUCAGCUCUAGGUGUUGGCAGUGGAGUCCCCGGACGUGGACUCAAGCCACGGUGUCCUUUGAGGCAUGAUUCCAGGCUAGAUGUUGCAGCCAACCCAUCAGGGAAGUCCUAAGAACUCGGGCUUUUUUUCCUGGGACUGGUGCCCAAGGAGGGCUUUGCAUUUGGAACCUGGGGCACUUGGGGCCAGGCUAUAUUGGAAUUGAGUUAAUAUAUACACCGAAAUUGAAGUCAUACAAGGGGACUUUUUUCCCUUGGGGGUGAGGGCACGUGUUAUUUAUACAUGUUCCUGCUAAACCUUUGAAUUAAAUACCGUUUGUAAAAAACUAAUCUUAUGGUUAAAUGGGAUUGGAAUACAGGAGAGCCCUUAAAAUUGAGGGAAUGUAAUCCGCUGGGUCUGGAGUCGGUGGCAGAGAGACAAGCUCACGUAAGGGUAGCAGAGAGCCCUGAGGGAGGGAUGAACAUGACCCUUGGACUUCUGGCAGUGGGGGCCGGAGUCAUCACUGUUAAAAUAAUAUCUGUGUGAUUCCCAUAGUUGCAUGGGAGAAUCAGGGACAGAAAUAAGUCAUCUUAGUCUUGGCAUCAUUCUCCUUGAGCUUGCACAAAAUAUUUCAUUCUUGGAAUGAUCCUCCUUCCCUCUAAUGAGAGUUAUGGAAUAUGCCUAUUUACUCUUGGGGAAGAGAACAAGCAUUUAUUCCAGGCAUAUAACCAUAUAUAUAUAUAUAUAUAUAUUUAUUUAUAUAUAAAAUCAGGCAACAUGUGAAGCGCUUUACAAAUCUCAUCUCAUUUGAUCUUCACCACAAAUUGGAUAGGUAAGUUCUAUUAUUAUCAUCGUCUCCAUUUUACUGUUGAGGAAACUGAGGCAAAGAGAAAUUAAACAACUUGCCCUCGAUCACAUAACCAUUAAGUGUCUGAGGCAAGAUUUGAACUCAGAUCUGGCCUUCUCAUCACUACCCCAGGCAGAACACAGGACAUUGGGAGGUGAAGUUCUCUCAUCUCUACUGAUAUUUUGGAUAGGUCGGAGUCCCUCAUCCCUCUCCCUGUGGGUAGCAGAGUGCAGUGAUGAGGGAUGCCCAUCGCUCAGAGUGGGAAGGGAUGUGCUCAUAGUUUGAUGAGGACUGAGAGGUCGCUCUCUUCCUAACACUAGACUUGAUCUCUCCCUCCAUCAUUAAUGGUAAUUACACACUCCAAAGCCACCAAAUCUCCUCCCUCCUUUACUGAUCAGAGACAGAGCAAGUGGAGAAGUGACCCACAUUUUUCAGAGAACCAAAAAUAGCUCGUUAAUGUUAAAUUUCAACUUGUCCACUUCUAAGUAGAAAUAUAUAUGCAUGUAUGCAUGUAUGUAUCUCUAUCAUAUAACUUUUUAAUGCUAGGCUUGAGUGUUAGACCUAGCGGUGAUCCUAGAGAUCAUCUAGUCCAACUUUCUCAUUUUAUAGAUGAAACUGAAGCCGAUGGAUAGGAGGUCAUUUGUCCAAGGCCACAGAGACAAUUUCUUUGUAGCUCCAUUGAGAGAUCAUCUUUGUCUUUCCAUAUAGAUGUGAUGGAUCAUUUAUUUCCCCAAAGCAGCUGCAAAUGGGCUGUUGAACAGAGCUGGAUCACUGGGAAGAGGCUGAUUAGAUGGGAUGUCCACCCAAUAAUACGUCUGAUGGUUUUUGUCUCAGCAAAAUGGACAACUUUAGACAAUGGGUCUUAGAGACCUUGGCCUUGGAAUGAGGGAGAUUUAGUUCCUUUCUAACUACCACUCACCCCUACUAGUUGUGUGACUCUAGAAAAGUGGCUUAUUUCAUUUCUCUUUUUCAGUUUCCUCAUCUAUAAAUUGGGGAUGAUGGUAUUUAGACCAUUUAUUUCAUAGAUAUCAAGAAUACUUUUUAUAAAUCCAAAUACUGUGGAAAUGUGAGUCUUGUGAGAAUGUGGGACUGAACCAGAACACUUGAGUUUUCUUCCAUUAAUUAGCCUUAUUAUGUAUUUGGGCAAGUAGAUUGAUCUUUGAUGAGCUUCAGUUUCUUCAUUUGUAUAAAUAAAUAAAUGGAUGGAUAGAUAAACAAACAAAUAAACAAAUUAGUUAAUAAAUUAAUAAAUAAAUGAAUGAAAAAUGGAUAAAGAAUGCUAGGUUUGGAGUCAGAAGACUUGGGUUGAUCCCUGGGCAUGGGGGUAGGAGGGUCCUGGUUUCCUCUUUUGUAACAGUGAAAGGUCUGGACUAAAUAAUCUUUAAGAUGA